CUCUUCAAAACACUUUCUACGCCAAACUCUACCUGACUUAACUCACUACAAUCAUGGCUACUCGUCUCAGUAGUAUGCGCAACAUUUGGGGUAGGCUGAUGCACCCACACCCAGCUGAACCUAUCUUCUACUUCAAGCCUGUCUUAACCACUCUUGAACCCGAGCUUAAUUUCAAUGAAAUUACCUAUUAUGCUGGGGAUGAUUACUUCCUUAACAUGCAACCAAUACCGAUUAGCAUCGUACGUAACCAACUCAUCCAUUCCUUUGAAGAUGAGACCACUACUUUAAUUUCAUCCCCGAUAGCCUUAUGGAGGUGGUGGAUUUGGAUGUAAGGGUUGCUUACUAUCCAACUCUGUUCGACCUUGAAGGCUACCUCCACAAGGGUGCUCCGGUCUUCGCAAGGUGGUUAUGUUAAAAAUCCAAGGGUGUGGAAGAAGCUCCCUUCAUACCUAAGGAUCUCAUCCCAAUUUUUGAUAGGAAGCUUAUUAUGAUGACCGAGCACAUUCCAAUUUACACCCUUCCUCUUCAAGAAAGGCACAUCUUCAUCGAAGCCAAAAUCGCUGCUAUUCAUGUCAUGGAAGUCAACGCUAAGAUGAAAUUGGUGAAGAUAAAUGUAUUCACUUGCAAAACUAAGUUUCAAAAAAUUAGGUACCAUUGUAUAUCAGUUUGUGGGUCUGAUGGCCACAUCCCGCAAGCUCCCAAUUUCCCAAAGGGAGCUACUUUUGUCCUCUGGAAUGCAAGGAACGUCCACCGUCCUUCUUUCAAGGAGACGUUCAACAAGCUCUUCAAUGCUUUUUCCCCAUAAUUCGUUCUCAUCACAGAGACCAGAGUUGACGCUGCUUUGUUCGGGUACGUGAGGGACGUACUCCAAGGUCUGUAUAGGGUUGAUGGUUUCGGUUUGGUCAAUGGCUACUAUGGUGUCUUGCUAAUCUGAGAGAAGUGUGAUGUGUAUCCUUGGAUAACUCAAAGGGGUGAAGGUGCCUAUGGCCAAGUGGGGGUCGCCAUUGAGCCAGGGGCAAAAUUUUAUUCAACCCCUCAAUGAGUCCACCCGGCUUCUACUUGGUACGAAGACAGAGGGGGUGAUGAAGAUGGAGCUAUUCAUUCGGACAAUGAUCACUUGUCUAUGUAGGUGGAACAAAGGCGCAGUUGGCCCUUGUUGGAUGAAGUCUACGAUGUUUGUUUAAUAAUCUGUUAUGUAUUAAUCCUUUUAUGUAGUGCUACGGACUUAUCUAGUACUGGUGUUCUUAGUCUUGUUUAAAUUUAUGAACCAUCAGACUAUGGUUAUUG